AGGUCCAGAUCUCUGCAUCUUCUGUUGAGAAGAAAUCCAAUUAUCAAUUUGGGCUGGAUGCGCUUCUGACACUUGUGCGCACACACUUCCUGUCUGCCUUGUCACAAAGGAUAUCUUGCUUGGGUCACCACCGAACUGCUCGAAAAGGACUAUAUCAUUGCUGCCUGGUUGGAGAAACGAACGGGGAACAUGGUACCUAUUUAACAAGAAGGAUCUUCAGAGGAGAACAUAUAAAAUCAACAUAGAUGAAAUACUGGAGCUGGCUCUGCAUGUUGGGAACAAAAAGGAUUAUUGAAAAAUAUUACAUAGCAUAUUCUGGGGGACUGUGGAAGUCUUACAAAGUCUGUGAUGGCUGCCCACACUUCUUGAGGCAUUUGCUCGAAGUGUAGGAUCCUCUAUAGUUGCACGAGUUAACACAGCCACUCUGUGGAGCCAGAUUUGUUGGCCAGUAUCGACCGAUGCUCUGUCCGUUCACCCAGGCUUCGCCUUUUCCCAAUCCUGUGAAGUCAAUGGCAACAGGAUCAUCACCUGCAGGGGCUGUGAAUUUUGUCUGCGUUUGGAGAAUUGCAGUUAGUGCAUCGACCGAAGGCAACAACUCAAGGAAAUGGAUUAGCCGAACAAAUAGAAUGUAUAUAUCUUGUCUUUGAGCCCGUUCUGGGUCCAUUCAAAUGCCGUACGUGAAUUGGUUUCAUGGUCAGAUGAUCAUACUGACCUUGUACCAAAUCAGUGGUUGAUUGAUUGGAUAAGCAUUGGAUGAGACCCAUUCAGGUGAGGCCUCUGAAGGAUUAUACAGGUACAAGUGUAAUUGGUUUCUGCCAGGAGAUGAGUGAGCUGCUAGCACUACCUUGAGCGCUUCCUGUAGGAAUUUGUGCUACCAUCUCUGGCAGUACCUGCAAUUUUACCAUUGACGUAGACCUGAAGAACAUGCCCAAGUGAGCUUACAAGUAGACUGGAUUGGCUGCCAUUUAGAUAAGGUUCAUCACCUUUGACAGUAAUGCUGCACAGAUUACAUCAAUGUCACAAAUUGUUAGUAUUCGUUUUGUCAGUGCACAUUACCCCAUGCAUAAUUACAAGAUGGCAUGCAAAUGUACCUUGUUGAGUACCAUAGGAAGUCACUCGCAUCUGCUGUGGUGUUUAUCUGCUCCAUCAGUCCAGCUUUUGUCAAUGCAUUAUCCUUUGUGAUACCAACAGGUUCUAUGGCAUAGCUCCAGCCAGAUACUGCAAGUUCUGGCGUGGUGAACGAGCCAUCUGAUGCUACAGUGCUCGACUCCAUGAGCCUCAUUUCUGAACUCGUCACUUGAGAAUUGAUCUGGAAAUUAUAGCCACACGUAUCUCUGAAUCAGAUUAACGUCAGGAAGGAUGCUGACGGACCACGCAGGGAGCUUAUACAUCUUGCCAUUGAAUGUGACAGUUUUAUCGGAUUGACCAUCUAUAUUAGCAAGGAAUGCGGCGCAAACUGAACCAGCCUUGUAUACAGUUGCCUGAAGAUAGAAGAAUGGCGACAUAGUUAUAUACCCGACCAGACAGCGAAGACGCUUUUCCUCGAAAAAAAGGAGGAUGUAGGGCUUACCUCAGCGUUUUGACCCAGAGAAAUGUAUGAUGGAUCAGUUGCUAUGAGCGCUGGCUCGCAGAGCUUUAUGGCCCUGUGCACAUCCCUCAAGUGGCCCCACUUCGGCUGCCUGAUUAGUCCUGAAUCACAUAUUGAAAAGUGGGCAGAUAAAUAAUGAGCGAAUAUUUUUUUCUGGAAAUAAUAUAUCUGUCUCCAUGACCCUUGUCCAUGCUAAUGUGAACAUAGUUGGUAGCAGUUAAAGGCAUUCUUAUCUUACACAAA